AGAGAAUCGGCGCCAAUAUGUAAUUUGGUGUAUUGUUAAGCGAUCGGCUGCAUACAUGAGACUGGAAAAACCCUGCCAUGUAGUUUAUUUAGGUUCCUAGUCGAUGCUACAGUAAGGAAGCGGUGGAUAUAAAGAUGUAGACACAGUUACGAAACCUGCUGAAGCAGAAGCAUCUGCUUCAAACGUACAUGUAGGAACCGAAGUUGAUACUGCUACCAAUAUAUCUGUACCAGACAACAAUGAAGUGCAUCUACAUGAUCACGAGUAUACAGCACCAAACCCUCAACAUUUAAAAAGCUUCCCUUGAAGACUAUGAUGUUGUAAACUUGCAGUGAGAAAUAUACCUGCUUAAUUAAAGGAAACCAUCCUUGACAAUUGGGAACAUCAUAAUUGAAAGACCCUGGAAAGGGAUCAUGAACACUGUUGGGAGUGUCCAUUCAACUGAAAUAUAAAAGUCAGAAGAAUUGAAGAUUGCAAUGGAUGCAACAGAAGUGACCAAAUAUGACCAAAUUGAUAUGAAUAGCCAGUUUUUCGCUUGCAGUAAUGACAAGAGUCGCCACAAAGAAAAGACCUUAAUGUGUAUUACACCUAAUGCAGCUUAUUUCCAAUCUGUAUGCUGGAUACAAAUCUAAUUUGGCAAUUGUGAACCAUUGUGGCAUUUUAGAGAAGUUGCAAGUUGGUGAUAUAUUCCUGGCGGACAAAGGAUUUUGUAUAUUUGACAAACUUCCAAAUGACAUGACACUUAAUAUCCCAUUCUUUCUUACAAAUAAAUCCUACUUCUCAAAAGA